GUGACUCAGACGGGAGUGGGGUUUGUGAGUGGGCUCCAGCCACACACGACUUCGUGCCUGUGACGUUGGCUCCUCCAUCCGCCUCUUUCCUGGAGUGCAGCCUGAGUCACAGCUCGAAACUUCUCCCACCUUCUCCGGGUGGAGGGGGCUUCCCCAGUCUUGGGGUGCGCACCUCAGGCAACGACCCAUCCCUCACUCCCCUGUGCUGGGACUGCAUGGGAAGCUGGACUACACUCCUCAGCCUCCCUUGAAGUUGCAGUGAACUUAUGAUGGUUUGUUCUAACCACCGUAAUAUCAACUGACGUUUAUCUACAAGGAUUUUUAUCAGGGUUGUUUGAAACCAGGGGUCAGCAAAAUUGUUUCGUGACCAGUCAAGUAUUGCCGUGACCCUCAGGUUGAAGGUCACAUAACCUGAGCAUGCCCAGAUGAACCAAGUGUGCAGCCAGAGGGGGAACCUAAGGGCUUGGACUGACGAUCGGGGGACUGAAUUAAGAAGUGGACAUGGCAGGACCCAGGAUCCAAUCAGGUCAAUCCCUAGCAUCAUCUCAUGGAAGGAUCCAAUCAGAUCAUGCCUCCCAGCAUCACUUCAUUGCAAGAUCCAAUCAGAUCAUGCCUCAUUACUUCAUGCCUAUAAAACCUGACCCAGCCCUCUGUUUAGGAGGCACUGUUUUAGGAAUUAUCCCCUGUGGUCCCCUUACUUGCUGCAAGUAAUAAAAUCCCCUUGUUAAGUCCU
rnacentral:lncRNA from 10 species